rnacentral:rRNA from 1 species
UUGACCUCAAAUCAGGUAGGAUUACCCGCUGAACUUAAGCAUAUCAAUAAGCGGAGGAAAAGAAACUAACAAGGAUUCCCCUAGUAACUGCGAGUGAAGAGGGACAAGCUCAAAUUUAAAAUCUGACAGUCUUUGGCUGUCC